rnacentral:rRNA from 1 species
GACGAACGCUGGCGGCGUGCUUAACACAUGCAAGUCGAACGGAAAGGCCCUGCUUUUGUGGGGUGCUCGAGUGGCGAACGGGUGAGUAACACGUGAGUAACCUGCCCUUGACUUUGGGAUAACUUCAGGAAACUGGGGCUAAUACCGGAUAGGAGCUCCUGCUGCAUGGUGGGGGUUGGAAAGUUUCGGCGGUUGGGGAUGGACUCGCGGCUUAUCAGCUUGUUGGUGGGGUAGUGGCUUACCAAGGCUUUGACGGGUAGCCGGCCUGAGAGGGUGACCGGCCACAUUGGGACUGAGAUACGGCCCAGACUCCUACGGGAGGCAGCAGUGGGGAAUAUUGCACAAUGGGCGGAAGCCUGAUGCAGCAACGCCGCGUGCGGGAUGACGGCCUUCGGGUUGUAAACCGCUUUCGCCUGUGACGAAGCGGGAGUGACGGUAAUGGGUAAAGAAGCACCGGCUAACUACGUGCCAGCAGCCGCGGUGAUACGUAGGGUGCGAGCGUUGUCCGGAUUUAUUGGGCGUAAAGGGCUCGUAGGUGGUUGAUCGCGUCGGAAGUGUAAUCUUGGGGCUUAACCCUGAGCGUGCUUUCGAUACGGGUUGACUUGAGGAAGGUAGGGGAGAAUGGAAUUCCUGGUGGAGCGGUGGAAUGCGCAGAUAUCAGGAGGAACACCAGUGGCGAAGGCGGUUCUCUGGGCCUUUCCUGACGCUGAGGAGCGAAAGCGUGGGGAGCGAACAGGCUUAGAUACCCUGGUAGUCCACGCUGUAAACGGUGGGUACUAGGUGUGGGGUCCAUUCCACGGGUUCCGUGCCGUAGCUAACGCUUUAAGUACCCCGCCUGGGGAGUACGGCCGCAAGGCUAAAACUCAAAGGAAUUGACGGGGCCCCGCACAAGCGGCGGAGCAUGCGGAUUAAUUCGAUGCAACGCGUAGAACCUUACCUGGGUUUGACAUGGAUCGGGAGCGCUCAGAGAUGGGUGUGCCUCUUUUGGGGUCGGUUCACAGGUGGUGCAUGGCUGUCGUCAGCUCGUGUCGUGAGAUGUUGGGUUAAGUCCCGCAACGAGCGCAACCCUUGUUCACUGUUGCCAGCACGUUAUGGUGGGGACUCAGUGGAGACCGCCGGGGUCAACUCGGAGGAAGGUGGGGAUGACGUCAAGUCAUCAUGCCCCUUAUGUCCAGGGCUUCACGCAUGCUACAAUGGCUGGUACAGAGAGUGGCGAGCCUGUGAGGGUGAGCGAAUCUCGGAAAGCCGGUCUCAGUUCGGAUUGGGGUCUGCAACUCGACCUCAUGAAGUCGGAGUCGCUAGUAAUCGCAGAUCAGCAACGCUGCGGUGAAUACGUUCCCGGGGCU